UUGGCAUUGUCAAAAUUGACGAAUUUAAAAGAAUUAAGCGAGCAGCAACGAACUAGCCCCCUAUUAUUGUUCGCGUAACCCCAUCGAAUUGGCAUGGGGGCCCGCCAAGACACUCAGCAACCACUGACAAAGACGAGAUGGGUGUGCUCAUUAAAUUUUACACUACGGACUGGCCCCUUUUAUUAAAAAUUUUGCUCCACCCUGUAUCUAUUUCAAGCGGUCUCUGACUUGUUGGGAACAUGUCAUAUUGUUCGAGCAUGGCGGAAGAUCGGCCAGACACUGGGGUGAGUCAAGUUGGGGAAGAUGUAGGGUAUGCCAACAACCCUACAUUUGUUGUAGUUUUAAUAAAUUAUAUUUGACCUA